ensembl:lncRNA
UGUGUGAGGUUCCUGUGGAGCUCAGCAUGUGCUCUGUGCCCGAGUUCGCUCCACCCAGACGCUCGUCCCCUACCCGCUUCUGGAGAAGAGCCAGGAUCUGGAGGGACCGCUGUCACAAGAGGGAGGGAGAGGGAGCGUGUUAAGGUUGAAGAGGACUUCCGAGAAAUGAGCACAGGAAGCGUGUUUGCUUUUGAUCAGCUGCCAGCCUCGCGCAGUGCCGCCGUGCCACAGCCCUCACUGCUCCCAGUGGAUCAUGGAAAACAGCAAGGACUGUUCUAGAAAGAGCCUGAGAGCAUUGCACUUGCUCAAGGUCGAACAACAGAAUGGAAGAGGCGAUAUCCCGGACUGAAACUAUAUCAAAUAAAAAUGGAGGAAAGUCUUCAGGACCCUGAACCUGGAACUGAAAUGGACAUAACUGGGAUUAUAGGCUGCCACUGAGGCCUGGGGCACACGGGCAAACAGGCAUAUAACUGAGGUGCCUCGGAUUUUGGGGAA